rnacentral:rRNA from 1 species
GACGAACGCUGGCGGCGUGCUUAACACAUGCAAGUCGAACGGAAAGGCCCUGCUUGCGGGGUACUCGCGUGGCGAACGGGUGGGUGACACGCGGGUGAACUGCCCUGCACUUCGGGUUAAGCUUGGGAAACCGGGUCUAAUACAGGCUAGGAGCCAUCUUUAGCGUGGUGGUUGGAAAGUUUUUUGGGUGUAGGAUGAGUUCGCGGGCUAUCCGCUUGUUGGUGGGGUAAUGGCCUACCAAGGCGGCGGCGGGUAGCCCGCCUGAGGGGGUGUACCGCCAUCUUGGGUCUGACGGACGGCCCCAGCACCCACGGGUGGGCACAGGGGGGAAGCAUGACCCAGGGGCGCCAGGCUGGUGCAGCGACGCCGCGGGUGGGAUGAAGGCCUUCUGGGUGUAAACUCCUUUCGCUAGGGACGAAGCUUUUUGUGACGGUACCUAGAUAAGAAGCACCGGCUAACUACGUG